rnacentral:rRNA from 1 species
GAUGAGCGCUGGCGGUAUGCCUAACACAUGCAAGUCGUACGCCUCACUUCGGUGAGGAGUGGCGGACGGGUGAGUAACACGUUAGUACCUGCCCCAAAGUGGGGAAUAACUGCCCGAAAGGGUAGCUAAUACCCCAUAGUCUCCGGUUUAUCCGGAGUAAAGAUUUAUCGCUUUGGGAGGGGCUUGCGUUUGAUUAGCUAGUUGGUGAGGGUAAUGGCCCACCAAGGCGACGAUCAAUAGCUGGAUCGAGAGGUUGACCAGCCACACUGGGACUGGGAUACGGCCCAGACUCCUACGGGAGGCAGCAGUGAGGAAUCUUCCACAAUGGGCGAAAGCCUGAUGGAGCAAUACCGCGUGCAGGAUGAAGCUUUUCGGAGUGUAAACUGCUUUUCUGAAGGAAGAUUAUGACGGUACUUCAGGAAUAAGGAUCGGCUAACUACGUG